UACGUAGGGUGCGAGCGUUGUCCGGAAUUAUUGGGCGUAAAGGGCUCGUAGGCGGUUUGUCGCGUCGGGAGUGAAAACUCAGGGCUUAACCCUGAGCCUGCUUCCGAUACGGGCAGACUAGAGGUAUGCAGGGGAGAACGGAAUUCCUGGUGUAGCGGUGAAAUGCGCAGAUAUCAGGAGGAACACCGGUGGCGAAGGCGGUUCUCUGGGCCUUACCUGACGCUGAGGAGCGAAAGCGUGGGGAGCAAACAGG
rnacentral:rRNA from 1 species